ensembl:lncRNA
AGAGGCAUAGAAAGAGAUAAAGGGGCAAGAGAAAGGUAUAUUGAGAGAGAGAGAGCGAGAGGGAGAGAGAGAGAGCGGCAGGCAUAGAAAGAGAUAAAGGGGAAAGAGAAAGGUAUAUUUAGAGAGCGAGAGAGAGAGAGAUAGGUAUAGAAAGAGAUAAAGGGGCAAGAGAAAGGUAUAUUUAGAGAGAGAGAGAGAGAGAGAGAGAGAGAGGCAGGCAAGCAUAGAAAGAAAAGGGGCAAGAGGAAGGUAUAUUUAGAGAGAGAGAGAGAGAGAGUAAAAAGAGAUAAAGGGGCAAGAGGAAGGUAUAUUUAAAGAGAGAGAGAGAGAGAGAGAGAGAGAGAGCGGCAGGCAGGCAUAGAAAGAGAUAAAGGGGCGAGAGGAAGGUAUAUUUAGAGAGAGAGAGAGAGCGAGAGAGAGCGAGGGUAAUACUGAGAGCACACUAGCAACCUCCAGUGCUGAGUGAGUGCUAACACCACAGUGUUAUGGGGCAGAGGAUCAUGUGGACUGUGAGGGAUAGAGACAGAGCCUGGAGAUAGGCCAAUGGAUCAAUACUAUAGUAUCUACUUAUACAGGCAGAUCAAUGACCUCCCAGAACAACCUGAGCAGACAUACAGUUCCAGAUGGAAAACUUCUGGCUAUGAUAUGGGAUAUACAGCUUUAAUCUGUGUACAUACCAAGCAUACCAGAAAGCAUCCCUGCACUUCCUUGGCCUGAAGUUGGAAUAGUAACUGGAUCCCCCUGAAUGCGUUUAAGGGGAAAUGGCAGCCAUAGCAUUAGUAGUGCUAACUGUUAGUUGAGGUUAUAGUAGCAGAAGUGGUGGUAGACAUGGUUCUCCCAUGGCAGUAGCCACAUGGUGCUUAAAGAGGAAGUGCAGAGCGUAAACAGGGGGUCAUUGUAUUUCACAAAGAUAAAGGACAUGGCUACCCCCUCUCUGUCUCCCCGUUUGGAGGGACUGCUAGGGGACAUAAAAGAGUCAUUACUCAGCCCAAAAUUCUACCUCAAGUAAUCAAAACGUAUCUAACAUCACGGUGCCAACUGGUUUCCCCUCAGACACACAGUACACAUUUACUAAAAGUAGUACACAACCAACACAGUUACUUAGAUCAGGCAGGGGGGGCACUUUUGAGUGACUGACAGCUGAUCUGGGAAACAACACACACAAUACACUCUAAUCUCUGUGAGAGACCGACUGUUCAUCAGGGAUCAUAAGUAUCCCACUCCCCACCAAGUGCAAUGGGUCCUACAACAAAUGGUUCCUCUAAGACACACAGGACAGAAGACACAUUUUGUUUAAAGACAGGAGUUUCAGUCUGUGGAUGCUAGGAAUGGUGUGGGGCCGCGAGGACAGGUAGAAGAUAGGGAUCUCAUGAGCACAGAAACAUGUCACACAGAAGGUCACAGUGACACACACAAACACACAGGCAUACACACACAGACGCACACAAAUACAAAACACACACACAAACACAGAAAUACACACAAAUCAAAGCAACACAAAUGUGUGUGUCCUUCUAACGUUGUCGUCCAGUCGGAGACAUGAUGGACUGCAGACAAUUUUAUCUUUUCAAAUUAAAUAAUGUCUUUCCGAAAAACAAAAUCUUGGAAUGAUAGAAAAAUUCAAUAUAAUGGUGAAAUCCUUCCCUGUAGGAUACAUUUCCAGUAAGUGCACUCCAAGCCGAGCAGGUCCGUCCUCAUCACAGUUCCCCUGUAGAGUCCUCUGGGGUAAAGUCUGCCAGUAUGUCCAAACAGGGGAACACUAUUCCUGUAACAUCCCAAGGCGCUCAAAUAGUUCAGGUCUUCAAGUACUCACAGUCACAUCCUUAGUGGAUCGUAAAAAAAUGGUAUGGAUAAAUUCCUUUCUGGAUGAUUAUAUUACACAAACCCCCAAAACCAAACAAAUGGAAAAAUAAAAGCAAAUUCACAUUAAUGAGCACCAUGAAGAAGGUGACAAAAUAAUGAGGCGAAGGGACACAUUUCAAGGUUACGUAACAUGCUUCAGCAGAUGGGUUCAUCCACAUUUCUCCCUCCCCUGACAUCAAUAAUAACGACCGGCAAAGGUUCCUUCCUCCAGCUAAAAGAAGCCAGAAAAGCCCAGAUCCAGAGGGUAGGCCCAAACCACUAGAGUCUCCACAACUGAUGUUUGUCCUGCUGGAAACACGACAUGGAUGUUUCUUAACUACACUUGUAUACGAAUGGCCUAAAGUAAAGCAUUGGCAUGGUUUGUCUUUUGAAGUCCAUACAGAGCAGAAACCUUAGGCCCAGGUUUGAUUGGAGGGAGAAAUGUGCAUCAUCACACUCCUUCUGGAUGAAUUACUGGCACUAACCUGAAGCACUGUGUGUGUGUGUGUGUGUGUGUGUGUGUGUGUGUGUGUGUGUGUGUGUGUGUGUGUGUGUGUGUGUGCGUGUGUGCGUGUGUGUGUGUGUGUGUCAGAGAUCUAAGUGUUGCUUGUAUAGAGUGUAGAUUCUGUAUUCCUGUGCUUCGUUGCGACAGGACAGGAGUUGGAAUAUUCAGCAGUAGCAGUAGAAUAGCAGUCGAUGUGUCUCCUUAUCUCUCUUUGUUUGAUGGAGAGAAUUAUUCACAGAUGAGCAGAAAGAAAGGAAAGUCUGGAACUGGAAAGAUGAUAAUAAC